rnacentral:lncRNA from 1 species
GACACAUGGAUUGAAUUCAGAUAAAAUAUAAGAACAGAGAACUGCUUUUAUUGAAGAUUCUAUCCACAAAUGAAACAGAAGAAGGUCAUUUAAAAAUAGCUCACUAAAAUGGCUCCUCCUUCUAUUCUUUAGUAGCAAUAUCUUCAUAAAGAUUGUCAGAGCUCUUGCAAAGUUUCCCAGCCUCACGUUUUAACUCUACCUUUGCAAUUGGAACUGCAACAACAAAAUACUUCACAAGAUGAGAGCCAAAGUAAAUGGAGCAGAACAAAUUGAAACUGCAGACAACAGCUUCCUUCCUUACAGCAGAUGUGCUACCAGGCAGCCAUUCAACAUUCAUAGAGGCGUAAUAUUGUGCAGACCACCAGUAAUGUUAACAAUGAGAGGCUGCAUAUACAAUAUGUUUCCUCCUGUUUCUGAUUUAUUGUAUCCCAACAAUGUUGUGAGAAAGAGUAGCCCCAACUACAUCCUUGCCAUAACCCCAGGGUCAAGGCCAGCUAACCAUUUAUGGAGGAACAAUUAUGCCUUCACAACAGAUGCCAGCUUGCUGCUGAGACAAACUGAAGCCAGGUCCAAGAAAUCUGGCUGGAUAUUACUGUUUUGCAUUAUCAUAAUUUGUGUGGAUGAGAAGCAUCAAAGACAUUGGCAACAUCCUUCAGGCCUUCAGUUGACCGACUGCUGGAUUGUUUACUCCCGUCUAGCCAAACCUGGACUAUAGAUCAUGACAACAUGAAGGGAUGGUGAUGGUGAAGAAGCAGCUAACAUUAUUUAAGCACAUGUUCAAAGACAGUGAUGGCAAUGGAACCAAUUAUUGCCCUGCCUGAAUUCAACAGAUUGCUGCAUUUGUAUCCAGGUAUGAUUGUAGAUGGCUGACUGCAAAUGAAAAAAUAGAAGGAGAUUGCUAUCCAUUGGCUGUGUAAUUGAUUGAUUUGAUGGCUUUGCAUUGUUAGAAUUCAGGGGUUGAAUAAUGUGUGCAUUGUAUUCCCUGCUAUGCUUUCUUUCCUAGCUCAAACACAUACAAAGAAGUGUGCAUUGCACUGGGAGCUCUACACAAAUAUUGUUAACAAUGUUGAUGAGAUGUUCAAG